CCAGCGAGUAAUGUCGGGAACUCAAGGAGACUGCCGGUGAUAAACCGGAGGAAGGUGGGGAUGACGUCAAGUCAUCAUGGCCCUUACGAGUAGGGCUACACACGUGCUACAAUGGCAUAUACAAAGAGAAGCGAACUCGCGAGAGCAAGCGGACCUCAUAAAGUAUGUCGUAGUCCGGAUUGGAGUCUGCAACUCGACUCCAUGAAGUCGGAAUCGCUAGUAAUCGUAGAUCAGAAUGCUACGGUGAAUACGUUCCCGGGCCUU
rnacentral:rRNA from 1 species